GAUGAACGCUAGCGGCAGGCUUAACACAUGCAAGUCGAGGGGUAAAUAUAUGUAGCAAUACAUUUAUGAGACCGGCAAACGGGUGCGGAACACGUACACAACCUGCCUUUAUCUUGGGGAUAGCCUCCUGAAAAGGAGAUUAAUACCCAAUAGUAUAUUAGAGUGGCAUCACUUUGAUAUUAAAGAAUUUCGGAUAGAGA
rnacentral:rRNA from 1 species